UACGUAGGGUGCAAGCGUUGUCCGGAAUUAUUGGGCGUAAAGAGCUCGUAGGCGGUCUGUCGCGUCUGCUGUGAAAAUCCAGGGCUCAACCCUGGACCUGCAGUGGGUACGGGCAGACUAGAGUGCGGUAGGGGAGAUCGGAAUUCCGUGGUGUAAGCGGUGAAAUGCGCAGAUAAUCAGGAGGAACACCGAUGGCGAAGG
rnacentral:rRNA from 1 species